CAGUCGCCGCGGUAAUACGUAGGUCCCGAGCGUUGUCCGGAUUUAUUGGGCGUAAAGCGAGCGCAGGCGGUUAGAUAAGUCUGAAGUUAAAGGCUGUGGCUUAACCAUAGUACGCUUUGGAAACUGUUUAACUUGAGUGCAAGAGGGGAGAGUGGAAUUCCAUGUGCAGCGGUGAAAUGCGUAGAUAUAUGGAGGAACACCGGUGGCGAAAGCGGCUCUCUGGCUUGUAACUGACGCUGAGGCUCGAAAGCGUGGGGAGCAAACAGGAUUAGAUACCCCCGUAGUCCCUGUCUCUUAUACA
rnacentral:rRNA from 1 species